GAUCAUGGCUCAGGAUGAACGCUGGCGGCGUGCCUAACACAUGCAAGUCGAACGAAGCACCUUUUAAGAUUCUUCGGAUGAUUGAUCGGUGACUGAGUGGCGGACGGGUGAGUAACGCGUGGGUAACCUGCCCUGUACAGGGGGAUAACAGUUGGAAACGGCUGCUAAUACCGCAUAAGCGCACGAGAGGACAUCCUCUUGUGUGAAAAACUCCGGUGGUACAGGAUGGGCCCGCGU
rnacentral:rRNA from 1 species